UACGUAGGUGGCAAGCGUUAUCCGGAAUUAUUGGGCGUAAAGCGCGCGUAGGCGGUUUUUUAAGUCUGAUGUGAAAGCCCACGGCUCAACCGUGGAGGGUCAUUGGAAACUGGAAAACUUGAGUGCAGAAGAGGAAAGUGGAAUUCCAUGUGUAGCGGUGAAAUGCGCAGAGAUAUGGAGGAACACCAGUGGCGAAGGCGGCUUUCUGGUCUGUAACUGACGCUGAGGCGCGAAAGCGUGGGGAGCAAACAGGAUUAGAAACCCGGGUAGUCC
rnacentral:rRNA from 1 species